rnacentral:rRNA from 1 species
AUUGAACGCUGGCGGCAUGCUUUACACAUGCAAGUCGAACGGUAACAGGCCGCAAGGUGCUGACGAGUGGCGAACGGGUGAGUAAUGCAUCGGAACGUGCCCAGUCGUGGGGGAUAACUACUCGAAAGAGUAGCUAAUACCGCAUACGAUCUAUGGAUGAAAGCGGGGGACCGUAAGGCCUCGCGCGAUUGGAGCGGCCGAUGUCAGAUUAGGUAGUUGGUGGGGUAAAGGCUCACCAAGCCAACGAUCUGUAGCUGGUCUGAGAGGACGACCAGCCACACUGGGACUGAGACACGGCCCAGACUCCUACGGGAGGCAGCAGUGGGGAAUUUUGGACAAUGGGCGCAAGCCUGAUCCAGCAAUGCCGCGUGCAGGAAGAAGGCCUUCGGGUUGUAAACUGCUUUUGUACGGAACGAAACGGCUCUGGUUAAUACCCGGGGCUAAUGACGGUACCGUAAGAAUAAGCACCGGCGAACUACG